UACGUAGGGUGCAGGCGUUAAUCGGAAUUACUGGGCGUAAAGCGUGCGCAGGCGGUUCGUUGUGUCGGCGGUGAAAGCCCCGGGCUCAACCUGGGAAUGGCCGUUGAAACUGGCGAACUGGAGUGUGGCAGAGGGGGGGGGUGGAAUUCCGCGUGUAGCAGUGAAAUGCGUAGAGAUGCGGAGGAACACCGAUGGCGAAGGCAGCCCCCCUGGGCUAACACUGACGCUCAGGCACGAAAGCGUGGGGAGCAAACAGG
rnacentral:rRNA from 1 species